GACGAACGCUGGCGGCGUGCUUAACACAUGCAAGUCGAACGGAAAGGCCUUCUUUCCCUUGUGGAUUGCGGGUACUCGAGUGUCGAACGGGUGAUUAACACGUUAGUGAUCUUCCCCCAACUUGGGUAUAAUCCUGGGAAACUGGGUCUAAUUCCCGAUAGGACUGCAGGGUGGUUCCUGUUGUGGAAAACGAUUUUCUAGUUGUUGGGGAUGAGCUCGCGGCCUAUCAGCUUGUUGGUGGGUUAAUGGCCUACAAAGGCGGCGACGGGUAGCCGGCCUGAGAGGGUGGACGGCAACAUUGGGACUGAGAGACGGACCAGAAUCCUACGGGAGGCAGGAGUGGGGAAUAUUGCACAAUGGGCGGAAGCCUGGAGCAGCGACGCCGCGUGGGGGAUGACGGCCUUCGGGUUGUAAACUCCUUUCGAACGCGAGGAAGCCACCUGGUUGGAAGGGUGGUGACGGUAGUGGUAGAAGAAGCACCGGCUAACUACGUG
rnacentral:rRNA from 1 species